UACGGAGGGUGCAAGCGUUAAUCGGAGUUACUGGGCGUAAAGCGCACGCAGGCGGUAUGUAAAGUUAGAUGUGAAAGCCCCGGGCUCAACCCGGGAACUGCAUUCGAAACUGGCCGGCUAGAGUCUUGUAGAGGGGGGUAGAAUUCCAGGUGUAGCGGUGAAAUGCGUAGAGAUCUGGAGGAAUACCGGUGGCGAAGGCGGCCCCCUGGACAAAGACUGACGCUCAGGUGCGAAAGCGUGGGGAGCAAACAGG
rnacentral:rRNA from 1 species